UUCAAAAGUUAGUGUUCAUGAUAAGAGAUUCAAACAGUAUCAAAGGAGAAAGCAGAAGUUCUUGAAUCCUCCGUUUCCUUUCCCUAGAUAUAACUAUUGUUAAAACCUUAGAAAAUUUCUUUGCAGAUUACGUCACAUAUCUAUUUAUUUACUAGCUUUUUUAUAUAAUAAUAAGCUCUUAACUCUAUAUACUUUUUGUGCAUAUAUUUUCUAUUAUAUAUAAUAGAAAUCUUUAUUUCUAUAUAAAUAUUUAUUUCUAUAUUUUAUUUAUUUCUCUAUAAAUAAAUAAAAGAUAAUAUUAUUUAUUACUCAUCAUUAAAUAGAUUCUAUUUAUCUAAGUAGAUGUAGUUCUACUUUAUUUCUUUCAAUGGCUGCCCAGUCUUCCCGUAGAUUGGAUGUGCCACAUGUAUUUAAUUAGUUGAUUGGCAUUUAAGUAUCCAGAUUUUUAGCUAUUACCAAUUAAGGGCACAAUGAACAGAAAAAUAGCUAGCAAUUGUUGACAACAGGUAUUGUUGUCAUGUGGUAAGCCAUAUAACCCUUGAAAUGUCCCAAUGAGAUAGGUUCUUUUAUUGCCCCUACUACACAAAUGAGGGAACUAAGUCACAAAAAGAUCAAUAAUUUCCACAAGGUUACACGUCUGGUAGGUGGAGGAUCUGGGACUUGCACCCAGGCAGUUGAGUCCCACUCCUGUACUCUAGAUCACAACACUACAGCCCCUCUGUAGACCCCGAGCACUUAUGCUGAUAUGUCCAUAUAAAAGGUCAAACUUUGUGCAUUUUACACUUUAAUAGUGUUAAAUGGUGGGGACAUUGUUUUAUGAGGAGAGCAAUGUGCUUCUUUCAUAAUCAAUUGUGGAGCCCACUUGUUUCCUGAGAACAGAGGGGUUGCUGCUGCCCCUGUGCCCAGAGGCCCCACUAAAUAAGAGCAUCCUCUCUUGCUGUGGUCAGGGCUUCAGCUCUGAAUUUUUUCUGGCUCUCUCCCUUUCAUACUGGACUGGGUUCCCAGGAGUCUUGGGAACCCGGCUCAUGCCCUUUAAGGCCAAGGCCACAGACUGCUAGAGGAGUUUUUCCCUUCUCUUUUCUCUGCACCUUCUUAGUCUCCUAAAGGUGAGGGUACCUUCCAACUGGAAGCCCUCUAUUCCCCAUUUUCCUAUUCUUUCUGCAAGAGGAGAAAAGGACAUCCACUUAGAGAAAUAGGUGCACCUCCCCACCUGCAGCUCCUACAUCUAACCACAAGGGGCCCACUGCAGGACCUCCAGGCCUUGAUGCUCACCAGACCUGCACAGAGGUGGGUGGUCACAAUGUGUGGCCUGGUUUCU
rnacentral:lncRNA from 1 species